rnacentral:rRNA from 1 species
AUACGGGGGGUGCAAGCAUUGUCCGGAAUCAUUGGGCGUAAAGGGUUCGUAGGUGGAAUUAUAAGUCUGGUGUGAAAGCCCACAGCUCAACUGUGGAACUGCACUGGAUACUGUUUUUCUUGAGUCAUAGAGGGGUUUGUGGAAUUUCUGGUGUAGAGGUGAAAUUUGUAGAGAUCAGAAAGAACACCGGUGGCGAAGGCGACAAACUGGCUAUUAACUGACACUGAGGAACGAAAGCGUGGGGAGCGAACAGGAUUAGAUACCCCAGUAGUCC